UAGUACGGCGAGUGAAGAGGGAAGAGCCCAAGAUUGAAAGCUGGCGUCUUCGGCGUCCGCAUUGUAAUCUCAAGAAGUGUUUUCCGCUUCGGACCAUGCCUAAGUCCCUUGGAAAAGGGCAUCAUAGAGGGUGAUAAUCCCGUACAUGGCAUGGAGCGCCCGAAGCUUUGUGAUACGCUUUCUAAGAGUCGAGUUGUUUGGGAAUGCAGCUCAAAAUGGGUGGUAAAUGCCAUCUAAGGCUAAAUAUUGGGGAGAGACCGAUAGCGAACAAGUACAGUGAUGGAAAGAUGAAAAGAACUUUGAAAAGAGAGUUAAACAGUACGUGAAAUUGCCAAAAGGGAAGGGUAGGAGGUCAGAGAUGCGGCCUGGGAUUCAGCCUUGCUUUUGCUUGGUGUUUUUCCCAGAUUGCAGGCCAACGUCGGUUUUGGGCACUGGAGAAGGGUAGGAGGAACGUGGCACCUCUCGGGGUGUGUUAUAGCCUCCUACUGGAUACAGCGACCGAGACCGAGGACAGCAGCGUACUCGCAAGAGCGGGCCUUCGGGCACCUUUACGCUUAGGGCGUUGGCAUAAUGGCCCUCUACCACCCGUC
rnacentral:rRNA from 1 species